AUGACUGUGGACGCUUCCCAAAUGGAACAUUCAGACAUUCUAGAACAUUCAGACAUUCUAGAAUUAUCAGCUUUCAUGAUGAUACAGAAGAUUUACAGUCAGCCCGGGCUUCUUUCCUGUUCACAAAUGAAAAUGUUUCUUUUUUUAAACAUCAUAGCUUUUAGACAUGAGAGAGUCAAUCCACAGAAGGAGGAGUAUGAUGAAGACGACGACCAAGGCAGCUCUGCGGAGACUAGCUCUGGUCCCGGGUGUUACAUGCAGCGCAGUAUCAAUAACCAGUAUGGUAGUUUAUAUGAGGUUCACGGUCUGAACCAGCCCCUCAGACACAACAGUAUUAUUGUGCCCUAUUCCCUAUACCGGGCACUACUUUUGAUGCACCCUAAAAACUUUGGGUCGAGGUCAAUGCCAAGGGGGGACUCUUGUGGUUCUGUACAAAAGUAGUGCAUUAUAUAGGGAAUAAGGUGUUAUUUCAGACACACAUUCUCAGGGCUUUCUGAAGACUCAAACACCUGUUGUUAUGAAAAGCAGAGUGACAGACAACCAGUUCACCUUUUAAAGAGAGAGAGAGAGAGAAAGAAAAAAAAUGCACUACAGAUAUCAGUACGGAUCAAAAACCAGGCAACCAAAAUACCGUAAAAUGAAUAAUAUGAGAAACAAGUAUAAUAAUAUUACAACUUAAAAACACACAGAUGGGAGGUUCUCUUACAGCUUCACUGAAAAAGAGCAAAAUGAAGGAAAACCUGAAGUGACCUUAGUGAGUGUUGUGGGCCUUGACAUCAGAGGAAUAACAUUUAUACACAGGGUUGGGUAGGUUACUUUAGAAAUGUAAUCUAUUACAGUUACUAGUUACCUGCCCAAAAAUUGUAAUUAGAAAAGUUACUUUUUGGAUUACCCAAAACUCAGUAAAGUAAUCAGAUUACUUUCUGUUACAUUUGGAUUAGAAGAAGACAGAAAGGAACUAUUAAACUCAUUUGGUGAUCUCUGAUUGGUGGUCAUCAUUUGGUUGUGCUUAUCAUAGUGAUCUCUGAUUGGUGGUCAUUAUUUGGUGUGUCAUCAUAGUGAUCUCUGAUUGGUGGUCAUCAUUUGGUGUGUCAUCAUAGUGGUCUCUGACUUGUGGUCAGACUCGGGGAUCGUGAUCGAACAAAUCCCCGAGCUGACAAGGUAAUAAUCUGUCGUUCUGUCCCUGAACAAGGCAGUUAACCCACUGUUCCCCGGUAGGCUGUCAUUGUAAAUAAGAAUUUGUUCUUAACUGACUUGCCUUGUUAAAUAAAUAAAAAUAUAUUCAAGGCAUUCCUAGUCGAUCACCAAACAUUUCUGUAAAAACACAACGAUUAAGCCUUGUGUUCCUAUUCAUGUGUCUGAAGGUACAAACUCUUCCUUCCUGGUGGACCCAGAGAGCAAAUCAAGUGGACUAUAGGUCUACCGCUGGCCAAUCAGAUGGCUCAGAUGACCGUGUCUUCAGUAAUGUAGCAGCAUAAGAGAAAGCUACAGUGGAUACUGUGAGAUGUAAAACGUUUUAAAACCACGACUAGAGAGACUGUCAACGAAUACAGCAAAGAGAUGCUGUCAACUGUCAACACUUUGUAGUCAACAUUUUGUAGUGAACACUUUGUAGUCAACAUUUUGUAGUCAACACUUUGUAGUCAACACUUUGUAGUCAACACUUUGUAGUCAACACUUUGUAGUGAACAUUUUGUAGUCAACACUCUGAUAAACCGUCAGAUGUGAGUUCUACAUGGAACACCACACAUUGGUUGCUGCUGUAGGCUGAACAGCUGUUUCCAUGUUAAGAUAUUAUGGUGAUUGUUUUUGAUGGUAGGCUACUCUGGUAGGUCCUACAUUAUGAUCUAAGAGCAACAGUAGCCUACUUGGCCGUUGUUAAAACUCUAACUCAAAGCGGUUAUAUUUCCAGUGAUCACAUUAUCGCUUGGUCAUAAUGCUUAUUUAGUUUUUUCCGCAAACAUUCUUUCUGAAUGUAAAAGUAAUCCAAGAAGUAAUCCUCUGUAAUCUGAUUACAAUAUGUUUUUGCUGGCAAAGUAACCGAUUUAAAAAAUAAAUAAAAAUGACCUCUUUUUUUGGGGGGGGACCUCAUCAGAUUUGCUAAGCAGGAGACUAAAAUGUUGUUUUUUUAAACCUGAGCUACAUUCUGCAUCAAAAGGGAUUAGUUCUGAAAAUGGUGGUGUAGAACGGUCUAGAAGGUGGGAUGUAAAGCCAGUAACAACAGAUCAUCAUUCCUGUUAAGUCCCAAAUAAGUGAAGAAGAAUGAAUAAGGCUUCAAACUAUACACACACACACACACACACACACCACACACACUACACACACACACACACACAACACACACACACACACACACACACACACACACACACACACACACACACACACACACACAACACACUCACACACACACACACACACACACACGGAGAGGCCCACAGUACACACUGUGUUAUUUCAGUUUCCUGUUCAUGUGUCUCUUAAGAAGUGCAAUCAAAGCACAUGAACAUUAACUCCCAUGUCAAAAACCAUAUAAUACAGUCGACUCCCCCCCGGCAUAAAGAAGCACGUCUACAUUUCUCUACAUGAAAAAAAAAAAAGUGAAUUAAAUCAACCCUCUCACCAAUCCCACUAGAUAGUACAUAAGAUAUUGUCUGUGUCUGAAAUUGCACCCUAUUCUCUAAUAGUGCACUACUGUAAAGUAGUAAGGGUGUACCAUAUAUGGGGAUAGGGAGCGAUUUCAGACGCCGUCUAAAACAUUAGAUUAGAAAGGCACGUAUAAUAACAACUGAAGUGAAUACAGAGUAAAUAUGAUGUUUCUCUCUCAUGAUUUCUUGGAUGAUUAUAGUGGUACAAAAACCCAGUGAGGUUUCAGAUUUGUUUUUUCUCUUUCAUAAAAAUAACAAAUUACCAAAAAUAAGUCAUGUGUUUUUUUUUCUUCUUCUUCCAAAAAGUAUUUUAAGAUAUAGACCUGAAUAGUUGGUUUCUGUUAAGACUGUAAACUUCAAAACCUUUUUUUUUUUUUGGAAGGGUUUGCAGUUGUUUUGCUUAAGGUACAGUAAAUGUUAGGUAACACCAUCUCUUGCCUUGCCGUUGCAAAAAAACGAAAACUAAAUCAUGUUUGUUUUGUUUUACUUUUCCCCCUGGCGAUAACUUCGGCUGAGGUUGGGUGACACAGUGCUAAUAAUUACCCAUAAUGCUACUCAGGGGGUCACAUGACCCUCCUUGGAAUGUUAAGGCUACAACAAGGCAGCACCAGACAGACAGACAGACAGACAGACAGACAGACAGACAGACAGACAGACAGACAGACAGACAGUACCUGGCCUGGACCUGAAAUCCACAGAACUUAUAGAAUGUCUAGAAGGUCUAGUUCUAUGAAAGAAUCCACACUGGGGCCUUCUCCUGGUCUGUGAGGACGCAGCACUUCCACUGAAGCACAACUCAGUGUCAUAUCUCAUGCCGGGUGUAAAUAACAUAUCGCUUUACACACAAAUAAUAUUAUCUCUCUUUUUUUGGUUUUAUCCAAGAUGGAUGCAUGGCUGAUCUGUAAAACUACCAAGCUAAAGAGAGUGGAGUCAUUUAACUCUGCUAACUGUGUGGGAUCGAGAGUUGGAACUAAAGAACAGGAGAGGACAGGACGAGAGGACAGGAACAGUAUGAGGGACAGGGCAGAGGGACAGGGAUAGGGGACAGGGCAUAGGGACAGGGAUAGGGGUCAGGGCAGAGGGAGAGAGGACAGGGCAGGGGGAGAGAGGACAGGGCAGAGGGACAGAGGACAGGGCAGAGGGACAGAGGACAGGGCAGAGGGACAGAGUACAGGGCAGAGGGACAGAGUACAGGGCAGAGGGACAGGGAUAGGGGACAGGGCUGAGGGACAGAGGACAGGGCAGAGGACAGGGCAGAGGGACAGUAUCAAGGACAGUGCAGAGGGACAGGGAUAUGGGACAGGACUGAGGGACAGUAUCAAGGACAGGGCAGAAGGACAAAGGGACAGAGCAGAGGGACAGAGGGCAGAGGGACAGAGGGCAGAGGGACAGAGGGCAGAGGGACAGAGGGCAGAGGGACAGGGCAGAGGGACAGAGGACAGGGCAGAAGGACAAAGGGACAGAGCAGAGGGACAGAGAGACAGAGGGCAGAGGGCCAGAGGGCAGGGCAGAGGACAGAGCAGAGGGAAAGAGGACAGGACAAAGGGACAGAGGGACAGGGCAGAGGGACAGAGGGACAGGGCAGAAGGACAGACGGACAGAGGGAAAGAGGACAAGACAGAGGGAUAGAGCAGAGUGAUCUAACCCAGAAGGGCCAAGAGGACACCAAAACUAAGCUCUCCUCUUCUGUUGCCAAAAGCAGAAAGCGUUUGAAUUUAGUUAAAGAGGUCAGAUCAGGGUCAGAGGUCAGAUCAGGGCUAACACGUAGAUCCACUGUUAUUCCCAUUAUCGACAGCCCAUCUUACAGGAGCCAAACAGACAGACAGACAGACAGACAGACAGACAGACAGACAGACAGACAGACAGACAGACAGACAGACCAUCGUUACAGGAGCCAAACAGACAGACAGACAGCCAAACAGACAGGGCCUGUGUCCUAAACGGCACCCUAUUCCUUUAUAGUGCCCUACAUUUGACCAGGGCCCUUAGGGAAUAUGGCUCUGGUCAAAAGUAGUGCACUAUAUAUGGAAUAGGGUGCCGUUUUUUAAUGAUGCCCCCAGUAUUCACAUUCAUAUGUCCACCACUCUCAGCAGAGAGGCUUUCCUCCAGCAGAACUGUGCAGUCUGGUGUGGUCCAGUUAGCCUGGUUCAGUCUGAUCUGACCUGGUUAGACCUCAUCUACAGGCAGAUACACCUCAUCUACAGGUAGAUACACCUCAUCUACAGGUAGAUACACCUCAUCUACAGGCAGAUACACCUCAUCUACAGGUAGAUACACCUCAUCUACAGGUAGAUAGACCUCAUCUACAGGCAGAUACACCUCAUCUACAGGUAGAUAGACCUCAUCUACAGGCAGAUACACCUCAUCUACAGGUAGAUACACCUCAUCUACAGGUAGAUAGACCUCAUC
rnacentral:lncRNA from 8 species